rnacentral:rRNA from 1 species
GACGAACGCUGGCGGCGUGCUUAACACAUGCAAGUCGAGCGAGAAAGAGGGGCAACCCUUGAGUACAGCGGCGGACGGGUGAGGAACACGUAGGUAAUCUGCCCUUCGAUGGAGGACAACGGUCCGAAAGGACCGCUAAUACUGCAUACGUUCCCCGGGUCCUCGGGCCUGGGGAGGAAAGCCUCGCAAGGGGCGUCGGAGGAGGAGCCUGCGUCGCAUCAGCUAGUUGGUGGGGUAACGCCACC